GGAGCUAUAUCUUUUUAUUUUUUGAAACACGAGCUAUAUCUCUUCUUCUUCUUUUUUUUUCUCCAUCCUCGCAGUCUUCAAAGAAUCUUUCUCCUCUCUCUCACCACAUAGCAUCCUUACCUCUUUGUCACUGUCUUGUAGAUCUCUUCAUAGUAAGAGUCUAGCAGAAUCCACUAAACCCUCACAAAAUGCUCUCUCUUUCUCAUUUGCAUCCGCCACCGUAUUAAAAGCCCUCUUUACUGCUAAAAUCUACGCGAAUACUCUGGCUCAGUCAGCUUUGGCAUGCCGUGAGAAUCUCAUGGAUCAGAACCCUUAAAAUCGGUCUUCUUUGGAGGUGGCCAGAAGAUGAGAGUGGCAGAGCUUUCACGGAUUAGAGCAGUGAAAGAAGCAACAAAUUUGAAAAAAUGACUUUGUGGUCCAGGAGAGUAACUCUCCUUAAGAAAGGAGCAUGUGGAAGACUUGUCAAGUGGUGAUGAUUGUGAGCCUUUAACUCUCAAGGUCGUUUGCUAAUUGAUCCGUUGAAGAUUGCCCCUUCAUGUUUGAAUGAUUAUAACACUUGAAAGCUUUGACUGAGUCUUAAAAAAAUCUUAUUAGAGAGAAAUAACAUAUAAGUUUUUACGUGUUGGUUGUUGUGGGAGACUCUUGUUAUGGCAGGAUCAAGCUUACCUUUUAUGAUAAGUUUUCAUUAGUGUUA